AAUAUAUGUCCCUUGGACCUGCUAAGGGCUGAAGAUCACCUUAUCUACUGUUUCAAGAUUAUUUUCAUAUUUGAUCUUAGCUACCCUGGAAUCAGGCCUGAAAAUCACUCCUCACCCCUCCAUGGAAACCAGAGAGAGCGUGAUGGCUUUUGAUGAAACUCAGCACAUUUCUUCAAGACCUGAAACAUCAGGCAUCCAAGAAAUACCAUCAGCUAUACCUGUUCUCCCGAGACCAGUUCUGGAGCCUACAUCUUUUCCUUUCCUGAAAACCACGAGGACAGUGAUGGUUACUCAGAGACCAAAGCUGAAAUCUUCUUCUCCUUACCUUGCAAGCCAAGGACCAGUGGAGGCAACUGAGAGACCAGACCUGGAAUGGACCUCGUCUGCCUCACGGGGAACCACAAGGAUGGGUAAAUAGCCAGCGAUUCCCUCCUUCACUGCUGCCUUUGGCCAUGCCCUUCUCUGCAGUGAUGAGCCUGUUGAGAUGUGCUGGUGUCCCAAGAGUGGGUCAGCGGUGUGGCUGGAGCCUUUUGGCUCCUUCCCAAAAAC
rnacentral:lncRNA from 1 species